rnacentral:lncRNA from 10 species
AUUUGUAUUCCUUUUACAUUUUCAUAUUUUUAAAAUCCUGUGCCAUAUUUUUAUCACAAUAGUGUAUCACAAAGCUGAACACACCUCCUCUUGAACAUUUAUCACUAGUGGCCUUGAAUCUUAUGUGAUAUCAUAAUCAGAAUUUCUACUUCAUAGUGACUGAUAGAGAGCAGCAGUCUCAGCUGUAAAAAUAGAGUCCCCAGGGAAUACUGAUAGCCUUUUUCCAAUAAAGCGAAAUCUAUUUGCAAUAAUAGGUAUAUGCAAAGACCUCCUGAAAUUACAGGAGCAAACUCCUUCCGCAUCUCGACCUAAUUAAGAUCCGUUACUCAACAGUGAUCAGUCAGAUUUUACUGUAAGAAGGAAGAAAACAAGGAUCCUGCUAGAACAACAUGGAAACAGGCUGAUCUUAGGACCUACAACAAAGAGAUUUCUCACUGGCUUCCUGGUGGUUCAUUCAAUAGGGAAUUCCUGCAGCAAGUUGGAGGGAGGGAGGAGAAGCAGCACUGAUUCCAUGAACAGAGAUUCAUGCCACUGUGUAGUCUGCAACAAAACAUUGAAGAUGGUUUCCAAUAUCCAGAUGGACAGGCUGACCAUGAGUGCAAAUCUUCUUGUCCUUAGGAAAAAAAACUUCAAAGGGUAGACAACAGCCAAAUACCGAUCAACGGCAAUGCAGGAAAGACACACACAGAGAUCCAAUAUUGGCUGGAAUGCUGACUAUAAUCACAAAGAUGUAAACAAUGGGAAACAAAUAGUGAUCCAGGUCAUGCUGUUCUUCAAUACAUGUGCUGUUCAUUUUUUCCUUUUUAAGGUAGC